UAAAUACUCCCUCCGUCCCAAAAUUCUUGUCUUAGAUUUGUCUAAAUACGGAUGUAUCAAGUCAUGUUUUAGUAUUAGAUACAUCCGUAUCUAGACUAAUCUAAGACAAGAAUUUUGGGACGGAGGGAGUACUAA
rnacentral:pre_miRNA from 1 species